rnacentral:rRNA from 1 species
UACGUAGGGGGCUAGCGUUGUCCGGAUUUAUUGGGCGUAAAGAGCGUGUAGGCGGCCAGGUAGGUCCGUUGUGAAAACUCGAGGCUCAACCUCGAGACGUCGAUGGAAACCAUCUAGCUAGAGUCCGGAAGAGGAGAGUGGAAUUCCUGGUGUAGCGGUGAAAUGCGCAGAUAUCAGGAAGAACACCCGUGGCGAAGGCGGCUCUCUGGUACGUGACUGACGCUGAGACGCGAAAGCGUGGGGAGCGAACAGG